GCCGUAUCACUAUUCUGCAAUUCACCUUUUUUUCCCCCUGCCUGUCUAUAUCAUAAAAUCCUAAAUGAAUGCGUCUUGGCUUCUCUUAGCAGAACUGUGUUUUGGUUUUGUGCUUCAUCUCAAGGGACGGCGUAAAGCCCCCUGAUCGAUAAUCGCGGACGGCGCAUUCCUCCACCUGAUCAUCUUUCCGACGUCGCCCGACGUAGCGGGAUCGUGAAGGUUGAACUGAGCCGACCAAAAGUUGUGUCUUGGAGUGAAAAGCGAGAAGCCGCUGACGCACGUCGGUCCCCGAGGUGGCUGAGAAGAGCGAUCGUUUUAUCUCUGUGUCAGAGUAGACAGAUGUCUCUGUGAGUCUGCUCACGUCCCUACUGUCCAGACCUGCCGGCAACAAGCAUCCGAGUUCAUUUUACUGCAAGUAUUUUACCAGGAAUGAGCUUAGUAAACAGGUAACAAAUACACUGCGCCUAUUAUGUCUUAUCACAACAUUGCCACAAAUUGUAAGGUAUUUUAUUGAGAUUUUAUGAGACAUGCCAUCAUAAAUUCAUGGGUAAUUGAGAAAUAGGUCAAUUUUACAACUUUGUUUUAUUUUUAUUUGUAGUUUUUCACAAACCAUGUCGGUGAAGAAGAUGUCCUGGUCAGAUAAGGUCAACAUUAAACUUUCUUCCCUGCAUGCAAAAUUCUACGUCUGAACCCUGAAUGUGCCAUCGCACAUUCAGGGUUCAUCGCGUGGUGGCAG